rnacentral:rRNA from 1 species
GAUGAAGCCCAGCUUGCUGGGUGGAUUAGUGGCGAACGGGUGAGUAACACGUGAGUAACCUGCCCUUAACUCUGGGAUAAGCCUGGGAAACUGGGUCUAAUACCGGAUAGGAGCGUCCACCGCAUGGUGGGUGUUGGAAAGAUUUAUCGGUUUUGGAUGGACUCGCGGCCUAUCAGCUUGUUGGUGAGGUAAUGGCUCACCAAGGCGACGACGGGUAGCCGGCCUGAGAGGGUGACCGGCCACACUGGGACUGAGACACGGCCCAGACUCCUACGGGAGGCAGCAGUGGGGAAUAUUGCACAAUGGGCGCAAGCCUGAUGCAGCGACGCCGCGUGAGGGAUGACGGCCUUCGGGUUGUAAACCUCUUUCAGUAGGGAAGAAGCGAAAGUGACGGUACCUGCAGAAGAAGCACCGGCUAACUACGUGCCAGCAGCCGCGGUAAUACGUAGGGUGCGAGCGUUAUCCGGAAUUAUUGGGCGUAAAGAGCUCGUAGGCGGUUUGUCGCGUCUGUCGUGAAAGUCCGGGGCUUAACCCCGGAUCUGCGGUGGGUACGGGCAGACUAGAGUGCAGUAGGGGAGACUGGAAUUCCUGGUGUAGCGGUGGAAUGCGCAGAUAUCAGGAGGAACACCGAUGGCGAAGGCAGGUCUCUGGGCUGUAACUGACGCUGAGGAGCGAAAGCAUGGGGAGCGAACAGGAUUAGAUACCCUGGUAGUCCAUGCCGUAAACGUUGGGCACUAGGUGUGGGGACCAUUCCACGGUUUCCGCGCCGCAGCUAACGCAUUAAGUGCCCCGCCUGGGGAGUACGG